rnacentral:antisense_RNA from 1 species
UUCAAUGUGGGAGCUGGCUUGCCUGCGAUGGCGGUACAGCAGACAGACCGCUAUCGCAGGCAAGCCAGCUCCCACAGUUGA